UAAGUCAGCCACGAAUAGGCUAUCCCAACUAACGGCGGGAAAGACUCCACGGAGGGUGUAAGACCCGUGUGGGCGCGUGUUAAAGCUGUGUGGGCUCGGCCUCUCUUCCCUGAGAGUCGCGUUGCUUGAGCAUGCAGCGCUAAUCAGGUCGUAAACUCGAUCUAAGGCUAAAUAUCUCCACAGAACCGAUAGCGAACAAGUACCGUGAGGGAAAGUUGAAAAGCACUCUGGAGAGAGAGUCAAAAGACCGUGAAACCGCUCAGAGUAUAAGCCCAUGGCAGCUUGGAAGGCAUAUCGCUAGCGGGGCAUCGGUCUCCCUUCACGGGGAGCUGGUGUUACCUUGCUUCUGUUGUGGCUCGUCAAGGUAGGGGGGUCAAGUCCACAUCCCGCCGUCGUGUGGGGAGUUCCUGGGCGUGUCGUUGCUUUGCGGUUGACUUCGGUUGGCCGUAGGGCUCUUCGCGCUUGGGGCUUCUUUGGUCACGGACGUUCAUACUCAGUUGCAAGACGCGAUAACCAGCCCACCACGGCACGUUGUGAGGUCACCCACAGGCUCAGCUUUUGAUUGUUGUCCUUGACGCCGAGCAAGCACAAUGCGUGUCGCAGAUGUUCCUAACCUGGCAAUGCUUGUCGGACAGUGGAACGACACGCGCUCAACAGUCAGGACCGGGCGAUGACAGAGUUCUGGUUUGAUCCUCUUGUGACGAGCCGGCUUCUGGCCGAUUUCCGAUGCUCAGGUCUCCCGCAUGUGCCGCGGGAGAUCGCCUUGACGGUCUGGA
rnacentral:rRNA from 1 species